rnacentral:rRNA from 1 species
GACGAACGCUGGCGGCGUGCCUAAUACAUGCAAGUUGAGCGCUGAAGGUUGGUACUUGUACCAACUGGAUGAGCAGCGAACGGGUGAGUAACGCGUGGGGAAUCUGCCUUUGAGCGGGGGACAACAUUUGGAAACGAAUGCUAAUACCGCAUAAAAACUUUAAACACAAGGUUUAAGUUUGAAAGACGCAAUUGCAUCACUCAAAGAUGAUCCCGCGUUGUAUUAGCUAGUUGGUGAGGUAAAGGCUCACCAAGGCGAGGAUACAUAGCCGACCUGAGAGGGUGGGUGGCCACCUUGGGACUGAGACACGGCCCAAACUCCUACGGGAGGCAGCAGGAGUGAAUCUUCGGCAAUGGGCGAAAGUCUGACCGAGCAACGCCGCGUGAGUGAAGAAGGUUUUCGGGUCGUGAAACUCUGUUGGUAGGGAAGAACGUUGGUGAGAGUGGAAAGCUCAGCAAGUGACGGUAACUACCCAGAAAGGGACGGCUAACUACGUG